AUUGAACGCUGGCGGCAUGCCUUACACAUGCAAGUCGAACGGCAGCACGGGUGCUUGCACCUGGUGGCGAGUGGCGAACGGGUGAGUAAUACAUCGGAACAUGUCCUGUAGUGGGGGAUAGCCCGGCGAAAGCCGGAUUAAUACCGCAUACGAUCUACGGAUGAAAGCGGGGGCCCUUCGGGCCUCGCGCUAUAGGGUUGGCCGAUGGCUGAUUAGCUAGUUGGUGGGGUAAAGGCCUACCAAGGCGACGAUCAGUAGCUGGUCUGAGAGGACGACCAGCCACACUGGGACUGAGACACGGCCCAGACUCCUACGGGAGGCAGCAGUGGGGAAUUUUGGACAAUGGGCGAAAGCCUGAUCCAGCAAUGCCGCGUGUGUGAAGAAGGCCUUCGGGUUGUAAAGCACUUUUGUCCGGAAAGAAAUCCCUGGCCCUAAUACGGUCGGGGGAUGACGGUACCGGAAGAAUAAGCACCGGCUAACUACGUG
rnacentral:rRNA from 1 species